rnacentral:rRNA from 1 species
UACAGAGGGUGCAAGCGUUAAUCGGAAUUACUGGGCGUAAAGCGUGCGUAGACGGUUAUGUAAGUCGGGUGUGAAAGCCCCGGGCUCAACCUGGGAAUGCCAUUCGAGACUGCAUAGCUAGGGUGCGGAAGAGGGAAGCGGAAUUUCCGGUGUAGCGGUGAAAUGCGUAGAUAUCGGAAGGAACACCAGUGGCGAAAGCGGCUCACUGGACCACAACUGACGCUGAGGCGCGAAAGCUAGGGGAGCAAACAGG